ACCCAGCCAACGAAUCUCAAAUAGGACGAAACGCGUGUCAAACUGGAU
rnacentral:hammerhead_ribozyme from 1 species